UUGUGCCAGCCGCCGCGGUAAUACGAAGGGGGCUAGCGUUGCUCGGAAUCACUGGGCGUAAAGGGCGCGUAGGCGGCCAUUUAAGUCGGGGGUGAAAGCCUGUGGCUCAACCACAGAAUUGCCUUCGAUACUGGGUGGCUUGAGUCCGGAAGAGGUUGGUGGAACUGCGAGUGUAGAGGUGAAAUUCGUAGAUAUUCGCAAGAACACCGGUGGCGAAGGCGGCCAACUGGUCCGGAACUGACGCUGAGGCGCGAAAGCGUGGGGAGCAAACAGGAUUA
rnacentral:rRNA from 1 species